GACGGAGGGUGCAAGCGUUGUUCGGAAUUACUGGGCGUAAAGCGUACGUAGGCGGCGGGUUAAGUCGAAUGUUAAAGCCUGGGGCUCAACCCCAGAGAUGCACUCGAUACUGGCUUGCUAGAGGGUGAUAGAGGAAAGCGGAAUUCCCAGUGUAGCGGUGAAAUGCGUAGAUAUUGGGAGGAACAUCAGUAGCGAAGGCGCUUUCUGGGUCACACCUGACGCUGAGGUACGAAAGCGUGGGGAGCAAACGGG
rnacentral:rRNA from 1 species